rnacentral:lncRNA from 1 species
GCCUGGCGCGGUGGCUCUGCCUGUAAUACCAGGGAGGCCGAUGUGGGCGGAUGACCUGAGGUCAGGAGUUCGAGACCAACCUGGCCAACAUGGCGAAACCCCAUCUCUACUAAAAAUACCAAAAAAAAAAAGUUAGCCAGACGUUGUGGCGGGUGCAGAGUCUGAGGGAGGCGAAUUGCUUCAACCUACCUGGAAGGUGGAGGUUGCAGUGCACUGCAGCCUGGGCGACAGAGUGAGACUCUGUCUCCGAAAAUAAAUAAAUAAAUAACAUUCUUUAACAUGGGAAGAAAAAAAAUUCAAUCCUAUUACAAACACAGAAAUAAACCAAUCAACCAACCAACACCAAACAGGUAUUUUGUUUGAAGUGUACUGACUCAUAAACGCAAUUAACUUUAAAAUAAAUUCCAAUUACUUCAACUCCGACUUUCACUACUG